rnacentral:misc_RNA from 1 species
UACGGAGGGUGCGAGCGUUAAUCGGAAUUACUGGGCGUAAAGCGCGCGUAGGCGGCGUGGUCGGUUGGGUGUGAAAGCCCCGGGCUUAACCUGGGAACUGCAUUCAAUACUGCCAGGCUAGAGUAUGAGAGAGGGAGGUAGAAUUCCAUGUGUAGCGGUGAAAUGCGUAGAUAUGUGGAGGAAUACCAGUGGCGAAGGCGGCCUCCUGGCUUAAUACUGACGCUGAGGUGCGAAAGCGUGGGGAGCAAACAGG